rnacentral:rRNA from 1 species
AGUGAACGCUGGCGGCGUGCCUAACACAUGCAAGUCGAACGAAGUGGCGCACGGGUGUGUAAUAUAUAGUUAAACUGCCCUACACAGAGGAACAACCGUUGGGAAACACUGCUAAUACCCCAUAGUGAAGGAUGGGACUAUAUCGUAUCAGCUAGUUGGUAAGGUAAUGGCUUACCAAGGCUAUGACGCGUAACUGGUCAGAGAGGAUAAUCAGUCGCAUUGGAACUGAGACACGGUCCAGACACCUACCGGAGGGGGCAGUAAGGAGAAUUACCCAAGGGGGGAAACCCUGGCGCAGCAACGGCGUGUGAAGGAUGACACUUUUCGAAGCGUAAACUCCGUUUAACAGGAAAGCGGUACCUGAUGAAUAAGCACCGGCUAACUCCGUGCCAGCAGCCGCGGUAAUAC